rnacentral:miRNA from 1 species
UCACCGGGUGAGAAUCUUCC